rnacentral:lncRNA from 1 species
GCCCAGGCUGGAGUGCAAUGGUACAAUCACAGCUCACUGCAGCCACGACCUCCCGGGCUCAAGCAAUCCUCCCACUCAGCCUCCCGAGCAGCUGGGACUACAGAUGCUGGACCCCACGCCCGGCUAACUUUUUGCAUUUUUUGUAGAGAUGGGGUCUCCCUAUGUUACCCAUGCUGGUCUCAAACUCCUGGCCUCAGACAAUCCUUCUGCCUCAGCUUCCCAAACUACUGGGAUGACAGGUGUGGAAGCCACCGGGCCUGACCUUACAUAGUGGUUUUUAAAAGUGCCAGGCAAGGGCAGUGGCUCACACCUGUAAUCCCAGCACGCUGGGAAGCUGAGGCCGGAGGAUCACUUGAGCCUGGGGGUUUGCGGCUACAGCGAGCCACGACUGUGCCACUGUACUAACAACCUGGGUGACAGAGUAGACGCCAUCUCUAAUAAUAAUAAUAAUAAUAAUUAAUAAAUAAAAACAGACAAAGUAGGUGCUUAGUGAGUUAAGCCAUAUCAAAGCAAAUACCUUUUUUAAGGGUCUAAUACUUUAGCAAAAAAUAUAAGUAAUCCUGAGUAAAAUUUCAACAAAAAACACCCAGAGAAACAGGAAUCUGGAGCUUUGUAGAAGAUGGAUAACUGAACAAUGGCCUGACCUGUUGGUCUGUGAUUCAAACCCAGGUGUGCGGCCCACCAUAAACACAUUAGGCUCGGUCACUCAGACAUUCUCUGAAGCAGCAGCAAUAAAUGAGGCCAUAUCCAGUGGCCAUAAGCCCCCACCCCGACACCAGGCACAUCCGGGCUGCACUCAAACCAGAAGCCCUGUCCAAGGUGCACUCAGUAGGACCCGGCCAUACCAUAAGGCCCCACCAGGGACCCGCUGGAAGGCUCUGGAGCCACUCACGCCGGGCCCUCGGUUUCAUGUGGCCCAAGCCAACUUCUGAGGAGGGGCUGUUUCUUCACCCCAAGACUGCGUCCCUCUGAGCCGCCCCUCCUGUUCUCUGCAAUCCUUCCAGUUCCUUCUGCCUGAGGAAGGACGCAUGUCCAGCUCCACUGCGAGCCUGGCACCCGCCCUGGGAGGUAAGUCUGGAUGAGACUAGGAGAUAAGAGGAUGAGAGAUGAGACUGGGAGAUAAGAGGAUGAGAGAUGAGACUGGGAGAUGAUAAGAGGAUGAGAGAGCAUCACCAGCCCCACCCUGUGUCCACACCCUCCACUGCCCCAACCUACCCACCCUUCAGAGAUCAGAAUCCUGGUCUACUCUUAAGAGAAUGGCCAGAGGCAGAAUGUGACUUUCAACCUGAGUUGGGUGGCUCAGGAGGAGGAAUCCUGGAUUUUAUACAGGAUGGUGUCAUGCCCCUGCCCCCCACCUCCAUGAAAGCUGAUGGCCCAGAGGAUGUGCACCAGGGAAGCACAUCCAGAUCCACGGCUGCAGGUGGGAGGCAGGGGAGGAGGGGGCCCAGCCAGGCUUCCCCAUCUUCCCCGCCACCCAGACCAGCCCCCCACCAUCACCCCUGCCACCCCAGCUGGGGCCCCCAUCAUCCCUGCCACCCCGGCCGGGCCCUCCAUCAUCCCCGCUGCCCAAGCUGGGCCCUCAGCAUCCCUGCUGCCCUUCGGGCCUGGACUUACUGUUAUGUCUUCCAGGGUGGGGGCUCCCACUGUCUAUCCCCUACCCUCCUUCCCCUCCUGCCUCACAGCAUCAGAAACCUCCCAGGCCCAGCCAGGCCAUGGGCCCGCACUGACCACCACCCCGUUCACUCACAGGCUUCUGUAAACGCAUACAGUGGUGUCUAUGCAGUGCAUGUUACGAUUCAAACAUGAGAUUUUUUUCAAAACUGAAAAACUCAAUAUAUUCAGUAUUUUACUCCCACAGCCCCCGCCCCCGCCCCCAGUGUGACCCACAGGGACCCCCAUCCAGGUGCAGGGUCCUCGCCUGUGUACAGGGCACACCUUUGGUCACUCCAAAUUCCCAGAGCUCCCAGGGCCCUUCUCAGGGUCUCCAUCUGGAUGGUGGGGGUGGAAGGCAAAGGAGGGCAGGGCAAGGGGUGGACAAUGGCGAAUCUGGGGAUGGACUAUUCCCACGUGGGGAGUGGAAGCCGGGCUCCUGGCGAGGAAAAGCUGG